ACAUUGGUUGGGGAAUUGACUAGUGGUUUGCUUAUAUGGACUUGGGUAAUCCUCACCUCUUGAGCUAGCUUUUGAGGUUGAGUUAGGCCCAAGGUCCAUUUCUUGACACCAAUAAGACCAAGAAGCAGCAUAAUUAACAAUUGUUUAAGAAGAUAAUGGGUAUUAAAAUUUUUCCAAAACACUUUCUCUAGUAAAAGUGUUAUCUGAUUAACUUUCAAACAAACUUUAAUAAUAAAGUGCAGUCAAACAAAGUGAGCAGUAUUGAAAGUUUAAUUAACUUUCUUUCCUUUUAGACUUUGUGGCAGACAAGUGAGUCCACAUUGAAAUUGAUUCAUGCUUUUGCUUCUCUAGACUCACAUUUUGGAAUACUAUGCAUCACCAAACAGAAAUAAGACUAUAGAACAUGUACUCUGACCUACUCUCUCAGAGAAACACUGCUUCAGAUCUUCCAUUUACAUUGUAUCUUUGUCGUUCAUACUCUUUACACCAUGUAUAUCUAUGCACAAAAAUUUCAUAGAGCCUUCUCUUCUUUCCCGGACAGUCUUUCACGCAUCGUCAUACCAAUCUGGGUUGAAGUCUUGCUUUCCAUUGAAGGAUGAUUCAUUGGCCGCAUAAGGAUGGGCUAAGUAUGUUCAUCAUCUUAACUGGUUCAAAUUUUGGGUUGCAAAGAAUAAUGAGAUGUGCCUUGGAAUUUUUUGAAGAAGCAAUAAUGUCGUGGAACCUCUUAUAAAGCCCCAAUGGUUUGUCAACUACAAAAUUAUGGCCAAGUAGGCUUUGGAUGUUGUUAUGGGUGAUUAUAAUCGAAAACUGGAGAUCAUACUAAAGAAGUAUGUUGGUGAAUGAAAAAGAUUUAAUUGCAUCCAAUGAUCUGCAAUGCAAUUGGGUAUAAGAUGUUGAAGUCGUUGGAAAAUGUUGUUGAUCCUCUUGAAGUUAUUAAUGGUAUUACACUUGGCGUUCUUCAUUAGAGAUUACAGGAAGGCAACCCAGAGGACAAAGACCUUGAGAGUUGAGAGGGCAUAAAAGGGACUGAUAGAGGACAUCUCUAAUGGUAUUUGGCGAAAGUGGUGCAAAUGCUCUUCGAUUUACCCUCGUCUUAUACACUGCUCAGUCUGAUAAGAGAGUGGCUGGGUAUCGUCAAUGGUGUAACAAACUGUGGAGUGCUUUUAGGUUUUCCAUGUGUAAAUUGGGUGAUGAUUACACCCCCCAACAAAGAUAAUUUCCUGUGAAAUGCUUUUUAGAUUCCAGUGGAUUCCAUCAGCACUUAAGAAUGCCAUAGUGAGAAAUGUCUCAUCCCUGGAAUCUUAUGAUUUAUUGGGUGCAACAUCAGAGGUACACUCUUGGUGGCAGUAUAGUUGUAUGAUGUGUUUAUAGAAGUAAUCAAAGCAUACUGUGGUAGUGAUAAUCCAGAAUUUGAUCUUCAAGAAGAUUUUCUCUGGACACGUUGUGGCUUUCCUUAGCUAACAGAUUGAGAUUACUCCAUCCAUUUAAGUCAUUUGCCAUCGAAGAAUUCUGGGCUCCUGCUACCAAUGAUUCUAUAAAGAAAAAAUUCUAUAGUGACAAGUAAUUCUUCAAUUGUUGAGGUAUUAUCGGAGGACAAAUAUUAGGGUCCAGAACUAGCAAAUUGACAUUACCUCUAUGGGUGUCUUUAUGUAAUUUUUGAUUGGGUACUCUAUUAAUUUGACUCUGGUUAAAGUCUUGUUUCUUUUC